UGCGUAGGCGGAACUGCAAGUGUUUUGUGAAAUCCCUCGGCUUAACCGAGGAAUUGCUUGGCAAACUGCAGUUCUUGAGGCAAGUAGGGGUGUGUGGAACUCUUGGUGGAGCGGUGGAAUGCGUAGAUAUCAAGAGGAACGCCGAAGGUGAAGACAGCACACUGGACUUGUUCUGACGCUGAGGCACGAAAGCGUGGGGAGCGAACA
rnacentral:rRNA from 1 species